rnacentral:rRNA from 1 species
AUAGCGUAUAUUAAAAUUGUUGCAGUUAAAAAGCUCGUAGUUGGAUCUCAGGUGCGAGUCGUCGGUCCAGUCUUGUGCUGUGACUGUUGCGUUCUCCGCCUUCAUCAGUCGUUAGACGCUCUGUGGUGCUCUUUAUUGGGUGCUACGGAGUGCACGGCACGUUUACUUUGAAAAAAUUAGAGUGCUCAAAGCAGGCCAUUGCGCUUGAAUAGUCUUGCAUGGAAUAAUGGAAUAGGACUUCGGUUCUAUUUUGUUGGUUUUCGGACCCGGAGUAAUGAUUAAAAGGGACUGCCGGGGGCAUUUGUAUGGUGGUGUUAGAGGUGAAAUUCUUGGAUCGCCGCCAGACAAUCUACUG